rnacentral:sRNA from 1 species
AGGCAGGUGGCGCAGUAUCCUAGUCACACUCGGUGUUUCUGAAGGCGGGCCUAAAAAUCCGCCAAGGGCACAACGAUGAAGUUCCUGGUGCUGGCUUCUGACGCCCAGUCGGGGGUUGGUGCUGGGAGUUAAGGGGGGGGGCGAUCCACAAGGGCAUGUGGGCGUUGACCCUGCCCCCGCGGAGGCCCAAGCGCGUGGUCAAUGUCGAGAUACGAUUACGCCUUGGGGGAUGAACCUGCAUGCGGUGUAGGCAUGCUGUGUGCAGUGUAGCCUGCCUUGAGCGGGAUGGGGGACAGGCUGAGAAGACGUUGCUGCGGUGCGGGCCCGGUUCAGCAGCAACGGUUGAGUCCAAAACCCAUUCUGCAAAAGAGGCUAGGAAACAUUUGAGGGUGUUGAGGAAAACUCCUAGGCUGUUCGCAUCAAGACCCGAAGCCCGGCGGGGAUUAUAGUGUGUCCUAAGUGGUAAUCCAGUCCUGCUUGCGGUGACGGAGCAGGGGUACCGUUAAAGGGAAACCACCAUGGCGGCGACGCCAGGCCGGUACCCGGGAAAGCCUGCUGGACCUAAGGCACAAUGUUUACCCGGUGGGCUGCCAUCUGCCUCAA